rnacentral:tRNA from 3 species
GUGGCUGGUAGCGCAGCGGUUGUCGUGCCUUCACCACAUGUGGGAGGCGGCUGGUUCGAAUCCGGCCAGCCCCA